rnacentral:rRNA from 1 species
AAAGAUUAAUACCCGAUAGUAUGGUGAGAUUGCAUGAUAACACCAUUAAAGAUUCAUCGGUAAACGAUGGGGAUGCGUUCCAUUAGGUAGUAGGCGGGGUAACGGCCCACCUAGCCUACGAUGGAUAGGGGUUCUGAGAGGAAGGUCCCCCACAUUGGAACUGAGACACGGUCCAAACUCCUACGGGAGGCAGCAGUGAGGAAUAUUGGUCAAUGGGCGAGAGCCUGAACCAGCCAAGUAGCGUGAAGGAUGAAGGUCCUACGGAUUGUAAACUUCUUUUAUAAGGGAAUAAAACGCUCCACGUGUGGAGCCUUGUAUGUACCUUAUGAAUAAGCAUCGGCUAACUCCGUGCCAGCAGCCGCGGUAAUACGGAGGAUGCGAGCGUUAUCCGGAUUUAUUGGGUUUAAAGGGAGCGCAGACGGGUCUUUAAGUCAGUUGUGAAAGUUUGCGGCUCAACCGUAAAAUUGCAGUUGAUACUGGAGACCUUGAGUGCGGUAUAGGCAGGAAGAAUUCGUGGUGUAGCGGUGAAAUGCUUAGAUAUCACGAAAAGGUCCGAUUG